rnacentral:rRNA from 1 species
UUGGCCGGGUUGCCUUACCAUGCAAGUCGAGCGGUAAGGCCCUUCGGGGUAACGAGCGGCGAACGGGUGAGUAACACGUGAGCAACCUGCCCCUGACUCUGGGAUAAGCGGUGGAAACGCCGUCUAAUACCGGAUAUGACCCGCCACCUCAUGGUGGAGGGUGGAAAGUUUUUUCGGUCAGGGAUGGGCUCGCGGCCUAUCAGCUUGUUGGUGGGGUAACGGCCUACCAAGGCGAUUACGGGUAGCCGGCCUGAGAGGGCGACCGGCCACACUGGGACUGAGACACGGCCCAGACUCCUGCGGGAGGCAGCAGUGGGGAAUAUUGCGCAAUGGGCGAAAGCCUGACGCAGCGACGCCGCGUGGGGGAUGACGGCCUUCGGGUUGUAAACCUCUUUUACCACCAACGCAGGCUCCGGGUUCUCUCGGGGUUGACGGUAGGUGGGGAAUAAGGACCGGCUAACUACGUGCCAGCAGCCGCGGUAAUACGUAGGGUCCGAGCGUUGUCCGGAAUUAUUGGGCGUAAAGAGCUCGUAGGCGGCGUGUCGCGUCUGCUGUGAAAGACCGGGGCUUAACUCCGGUUCUGCAGUGGAUACGGGCAUGCUAGAGGUAGGUAGGGGAGACUGGAAUUCCUGGUGUAGCGGUGAAAUGCGCAGAUAUCAGGAGGAACACCGGUGGCGAAGGCGGGUCUCUGGGCCUUACCUGACGCUGAGGACGAAAGCUGGGGGAAAAAAAAAAAAAAAACCAUUGGGGUAGACCAA